AUGAAUGCAAAAUGGUUUUCAUCGUUUGACUCUGCAUCUAUGCAGUUCAAACCCUCGCCUGUGAUUGCACAGAGAGUUUUGCUGGAGCAAAGGCUGAGCGAAAGCCAAGAUGAGACUGAUGCUCACCCAGUGAAAAGAGAAAAAUACCGAAGCAGGUGGUGCAGGCAGGGGACUGCUCGGUCUGCUGGCUGUUUCCUACCUUUGACCACGCAGGACUUCAUAGCAGCUGCCCUCCUUUCCGCUCCGACAUCUCAGCUAAGUGAGAUGAAUCCAGGUCUUUAUGGGGCCUUUUUUUCCAAGUGGCAGUGGUUAUGCACAGGGCAAUACGGUGCAAAUCAAGACAGAUGUGCUUCCUCUUUGCGCAGCAAUUACUCACAGAGCCCUUCGGCGGGCUGCAUCUCACAAAUCCUGGAAGCAAAAGGCUGCUAGGAAUCACAAAUACACCUGGGAGGUGCAGCUCUACUGGGAAGGGGAGCAGAUGCUGAAUGGAAGCCUGGGAAUCAUACGUGCAAGGAGUUUGUCGGUUCUGUGUUUGCAGAUUUCAACCGUGCUGCCAUUAUGCUUGGGUGCUUUUCUUAUUAAACAAGACGAGGCAAGCACAAUCAACAUGUCCUGUUUUGGUUGAAUCAGCAAGGAGGAGUUCAGUGCUCACUCUCCACAAAUAAUCCCAUUCUCCCAGGCAGCUGUCUUCUGCAAAAUGAAAGUGCAGACAUCUACAGUAUUACCCAGUGCCUGUUUGCACGGAGUCUGCUGUUAUCAUGUUAAUGAAGGGAGCAGAGAUAAUCACCUUAACGCAUAAAUACGCGGAUGCUGAUUCACUUUCUCUUAUUUGAGUCCAAUUUGCCAGGAUAUUUCUUUUUUUUCCCCCGCUGCAGGCUUGUUGUGUCUGGAAGGACAGCUAUUUUAUUAUUUUUUUUCCCCCACAAAUCAUCUUCAGACAAAUCAAGAAGCCUCUUGUCUAGAUGUGGUUAUUCCUUCUCAUUUCGCAGCCAUACACAGCACCAAGUCCCUGAUCUAAGGCUAGUUCAGACAAUUUUGUCUGAUCUGCAGCCAUAGAGGUCAGACCGAUCCCACAGCCUCAGCUAACAUCGUGUGGGUACCUUAUGGAUGGAGACACACUUAGAGGAUAAUUUCUCUUAUCCUCAGACCCUGCCGGUUGGUUACAACCAGAGAAGGAGCCCACAUGGUUGGGUAUAAUCCGAAUUAUGUGUCUAACACUCAGGCAGAUAAUGUCAGGGGACAGGAUCUCCCUGCUGCACAAAUGGGGAGUCGGAUAUUGUGGCAGUCUGCCGAUAACCCUACAUGUUUCCUUCAGUCCCCAACCCCAAGAGUCAGGUUAAGAAGCAUGUCCCUUAUUUACUUCUCAGAGAAUUUCUUUUUCAUAUUAAUGUGUGCUGAAAAUUAUUAAUAAUAAUAAAAAUCCUAGCGUGUUGGAUGUUCAUAGGCUCAAAAUGCAGAAUAUCAAUUAGCCCCCAGAGCAAUGCUUUUUCCAUGUUCCCAUAUAUAUAUAUAUAUAUAUAUAUUUAUUUUUUUUUUCCAAGCCUGACUAAUGAUAGCAGAACAUCUGGUGUUGGCCAUGCUUCACGUGGGAGGCUCAGCUACGGCGCGAGGACUGCGUGUGCCAGCCGGAGGCUGGCAUCUCCCCAGCACCGCUCCCACUGCUCCCACACCCCAGGGAGCCCCGAUCCCAGUGGGAUCUGGGACAAGGCACUGCUGUCACAGCGGGGUGGCAGGGCACGAGGAUUCGAGGGUUGGGACAACUGGGA
rnacentral:lncRNA from 1 species